CCGGAGAGGGAGCCUGAGAAACGGCUACCACAUCCAAGGAAGGCAGCAGGCGCGCAAAUUACCCAAUCCCGACACGGGGAGGUAGUGACAAAAAAUAACAAUACAGGGUCCUAACGGGUCUUGUAAUUGGAAUGAGUACAACUUAAAUCCCUUAACGAGGAACAAUUGGAGGGCAAGUCUGGUGCCAGCAGCCGCGGUAAUUCCAGCUCCAAUAGCGUAUAUUAAAGUUGUUGCAGUUAAAAAGCUCGUAGUUGAAUUUUAGCCUUGGCUGGGUGGUCCGGCCAUUCGGUCGGUACUGCUUUGGCUGGGGUUCACUUUCUGGUGAGCCAGCAUGCUCUUAAUUGGGUGUGUUGGGGAACCAGGACUUUUACUUUGAAAAAAUUAGAGUGUUCAAAGCAGGCAUCCGCUUGAAUACAUUAGCAUGGAAUAAUAGAAUAGGACUUUGGUUCUAUUUUGUUGGUUUCUAGGACCGAAGUAAUGAUUAAUAGGGAUAGUUGGGGGCAUUAGUAUUUAAUUGUCAGAGGUGAAAUUCUUGGAUUUAUGAAAGACUAACUUCUGCGAAAGCAUUUGCCAAGGAUGUUUUCAUUAAUCAAGAACGAAAGUCAGGGGAUCGAAGACGAUCAGAUACCGUCGUAGUCUUGACCAUAAACUAUGCCGACUAGGGAUCGGACGAUGUUAUUUACUGACUCGUUCGGCACCUUGU
rnacentral:rRNA from 1 species